GUACUAGCUUCUUGCAUGUCUUCUUCUUCUUCUUCUUGCUUAACCAACUCUACUACAUAUAGAGAGAGAAAAAAAGAGAGUUCAAUUAUGGCUGUGUCUAAGGGCCUUGUAGUUCUUGUUUUGCUAUUUACUAUUGUUGCUAUGUCUCUCCAAUACCCAGGAGGUGCAGAAGCUGGAGCAGUAUCACUCAAACAUGGGAAUUCAAAGAAGUUCUUUGCGACCCUGGGGCUUGAAUGCAAGUGUUGUGAUGGUGAUAAAGGUGAAUGCAGAAGCUCUUGGGAGUCAUCUUGCUCAAAGCUUCAAUGUCAUCCAUGGAAAUCCUAUCCUAUUCAUUAAUUCUUUAUGUUUAUGUAAUGAUGUCGCAGUGUGAACAAUUAUAUAUGUUCAUGGAUUUAGAGCAUUUUUAUUAUAAAUAAGACUAAAUUCUUGCAUUA